rnacentral:rRNA from 1 species
GUGGGUCCUAUAUGCUAGGCGAUAAGGGGCCUGUUAACCCUUCUACGGGGGACCUCAAGGGAGUUACCCAAGGGGGGAAAACUGAUGCAGCGACGCCGUGUGAGAGAAGAAGUAUUUCGGUAUCUAAAGCUCUAUCAGCAGGGAGAAAAUGACGGUACCUGACUAAGAAGCCCCGGCUAACUACGUGCCAGCAGCCGCGGUGAUACGUAGGGGGCAAGCGUUAUCCGGAUUUACUGGGUGUAAAGGGAGCGUAGGUGGUUUGGUAAGUCAGAUGUGAAAGCCCGGGGCUCAACCCCGGGACUGCAUUUGAAACUAUCAGACUAGAGUGCAGGAGAGGUAAGUGGAAUUCCUAGUGUAGCGGUGAAAUGCGUAGAUAUUAGGAGGAACACCAGUGGCGAAGGCGGCUUACUGGACUGUAACUGACACUGAGGCUCGAAAGCGUGGGGAGCAAACAGGAUUAGAUACCCUGGUAGUCCGCCCGUAAACGAUGAAUACUAGGUGUCGGGGUCUUAUUGACCUCGUGCCGCAGCUAACGCAAUAAGUAUUCCACCUGGGGAGUACGUCCCCAGAUGAAACUCAAGGAUUGACGGGGCCCCACAAGCGUGAGAUGUGGUUAUUCGAAGACCCGAGGACCUACAGGCUUGCAUCCAUGACGGCCUAAGGACUUCCCUCGGCAUGGAGAAGGUGUGCUGUUGCGUCGCUCUGCGGGGAGUGGGUAGCCCGCACGGGCACCCUUACCUAGUGCAGCCUAUGGGGCAUCUGG